rnacentral:rRNA from 1 species
UACGGGGGGGGCAAGCGGUGUUCGGAAUUACUGGGCGUAAAGGGCUCGUAGGCGGCCAACUAAGUCGGAUGUGAAAUCCCCAGGCUUAACCUGGGAACUGCAUCCGAUACUGGAUGGCUUGAAUCCGGGAGAGGGAUGCAGAAUUCCAGGUGUAGCGGUGAAAUGCGUAGAUAUCUGGAGGAAUACCGGUGGCGAAGGCGGCAUCCUGGACCGGCAUUGACGCUGAGGAGCGAAAGUGUGGGGAGCGAACAGG